UGCACAGCUGUUUAAACAUACUGCACGUCUAAAUGUGCAUUACCCACAAGAGUUCGCUGUAGUCUGAACUUACCUUUGGGCGAUGUUUAUUGAGUGUGGAAAAAGAACGUGCACCGGAAAUUAUGUCGGACUUGUUGAAUAAUUCAGUUGACAUGACGCCAUGUCUUCCAUGUGGUGCUUUUCCCUCUGAAAUUUCUAAUACCCCAAUUCACUGAAUUGACAUAUACAGAAGAUUGCAACACCAUGAAAAAUGUUAACUGACAAAAAUUCCAAUUCCUUCGAAAGCCUCCUUUUUAAAUUCGUACCACCGUUUGACUCGGCACGCAAUCAAAACAUCCCACGUGUUUUUUUGAGAAAAAACUGAAAACUGCCUCAUUCAUUUGCAGACAAUAGAACGUGGCAUGUCCGAGCCAUCAACUCUUCGUCAAACAACUACCAAAAAAAUCAGCUGAUCUCAUAACACUCAUCAACACUCCCUCUAUUGUCUUCUAUUGUCUAUUUUUCGUUCUAUUGCAAGCAGCCCAACAGAAUGGAUAAUGAAUGAAA